GAUGAACGCUGGCGGCGUGCUUAACACAUGCAAGUCGAACGGAAAGGCUCCUGCUUGCAGGGAUACUCGAGUGGCGAACGGGUGAGUAACACGUGGGUGAUCUGCCCUGCACUUCGGGAUAAGCCUGGGAAACUGGGUCUAAUACCGGAUAGGACGAUGGUUUGGAUGCCAUUGUGGAAAGUUUUUCGGUGUGGGCUGAGCUCGCGGCCUAUCAGCUUGUUAGUGGGGUAAUGGCCUACCAAGGCGUCGACGGGUAGCCGGCCUGAGAGGGUGUACGGCCACAUUGGGACUGAGAUACGGCCCAGACUCCUACGGGAGGAAGCAGUGGGGAAUAUUGCAGAAUGGGCGCAAGCCUGAUGCAGCGACGCCGCGUGGGGGAUGAAGGCCUUCGGGUUGUAAGCUCCUUUCGCUAGGGACGAAGCGCAAGUGACGGUACCUGGAGAAGAAGCACCGGCUAACUACGUG
rnacentral:rRNA from 1 species